CAGAGAUCAUGCCACUGCACUCCACCCUGGAAGACAGAGCAAGAUUCGGUCUCAAAAAGAAAAAAACCAGCAAGUCCUUAAUGGAUAACUGCAAGUCUCAUCAACAGCAAUGCUAUUAACUGAACUGGCUCAUCAGUAAUUGACACCCAUGUCUAUCCACUUGCUCAUGCCAAGAUGGACUGACUCUUUUGUUUGCCACCGUAUCCCCAAGGCUAUCACAAUAUCCAGCAUGAGUGUGUCAGCGCUUUGUUGAAUUAAUUCAUUGAUGAUGAAAUAGCCUAGUCCACAGGGGCUGAAAAACAAAAUUGAUGUCCACCUAAAACUAUUCAUGCUUUUUACAAGAAUUAUCAGGAGGCAAACAAAAUAUCCUAAUGCUUAAUGUCCAUUUUGGCCAUGGUUCUGAAAAUCCUAUAUUAUUUUG
rnacentral:lncRNA from 1 species